rnacentral:lncRNA from 1 species
GUUGACUCUUUGUUUCAGACUACUAAAUCAUCACCUUGAGUUUCUUAGGGAGCGUGACUGAAAGGAUUGUGACUGUUUUCUUCUCGAUGACAUGGGGAGAUCAUGCCAGUGUCCCUCCCUGGGCCCGCAGGAGAACUAAUUAAUGCAGUCUACAGCAGGAUGCAACACUUCCAAAAACGCCAUAGAGUUCUUCAUUCAGUUUGAACUGGCAAGCUUAGAAGCAUAGUAAACAAAGAUACUGCUGAAAAUAUGAAUUAUCCAGGAAAGCAUCUUGCAGAGAGCUUUAUUUCUAAGCUUCACGUGAACAUCUGCAGUUUUCAAGGAACAGAAACCAUGGAUUUUAAAGACCAUUUGCCCAUUGCUGAAUAAGGACAGCCCUAGGAUACUUACCAUCAAAUAUUCUCAAGCUAUCGAUUAACAUUUUUAGAACAGUCACUGGUCCUUUCUGCUACACUAUUUUAGAAUGAUUUAAAUAUGAUUCUUGGAAAGGAGAAGAUCUUUCCUUAACAAAGCUGGAGUACUCAUUGGCAGGCAGCAGAGAUGGGCUGUGUUAAUGUCAAUUUCUUUACUUUUUAUAAAUGCCACCUGUGUUACCAGCAUUGAUUUGAUGGUGAUGUAAUUUUCUUGCAAAUCCAUUAGUUUUAUAGGUUUUUGGCAAGCCUCACUGUUGUGUUGAUUAGAUAUAGUAACUGUAUCUAUUUAAACAGGGUUUUAAAUGCUUGGCUCAAUUCUCUGUGUUGGCUGGAUAACAAGACAUACAGUAGAUGCUUUAACUUCAGAUUGUGCUAACCAGUGAUUUGACACAUAGCUUAGCGUUUGGCCAUUUGUGAUACUCAGCACUUUAAUUGUGAAGUUAAUUGCAGGUAUUUGUAAGAUAUACCUUGAGGUAAUCCUGACAAAUAAGAUACAGACUCUCCAUCCUCUCUAGGUGGUUUUAUUCUAUCAGUAUUUCUCAAAGCAUAGCCCUCAGAUAAGCAAUAUCAGCAUCGUCCAGGACCCUGUUAGAAACGCAAACUCUUGGGCCCACCCCAGACCGACUGAAUCAGAAACUCUGGGAGUGGGGCCCAGUAAUGUACAAAUUACCAAGCGUUCCUGGUGUUUCCUCCCCUGCUAGUUUGAGCACCACUGGUCUAAGAGAAUCCCUG